UGAGCAUCACGAGCGGUGUUGAGGGAACAGGCCCUUUGAAACGCCCGGCAACCUGGUUCAGCCACCAAGGUGCCACUGCCUUCCGAAAGGAAACGAUGCGGC
rnacentral:ncRNA from 2 species